AACCUACAAACCUGUACAUCUUCUGUCACCUUCUCCACUAUUCACUCUCCCAUCUAGCUCCAUCUUCCCAUCAACUCCUUAACGUGCAAGCCCUACUUCACUGGCCAUCUCUUUUCAUUAUUUUCUAUAUCUCUAGUAUGUUAUAAAUGAUACAAUUUAUUUGCACCUCAGACAUUAAUUUUCUUGGUCUUCAGCAUCAUAUUUAUGUGUGAAAGCGUUUUAAAUAGAUUGAGGAAGCGGAUAAAAAUAAAUACAGGCGACAAGUUUCUAUGUUUGAGUAUUACAUAACGAAUGUUAGAAAGAGGAGCGAAAAAUAAUCUGCUGGAGGAACUCGGUGGCUCGUGGAGGCAAGGGGAUGGUCUGUUUAGUUUAAAGAUACAACGUGGAAACAGGCCCUUCGGCCCACCGGGUACGUGUCGAGCAGCAUUCCCUGCAUAUUAACACCAUCCUACACUCACUAGGGACAUUUUUUACCUUUAGCAAGCCAAUUAACCUAUAAACCUGUACGUCUUAGGAGUGUGAGAGGAAACUGAAGAUCUCGCCGAAAACCCACACAGGUCACGGGGAGAAUGUACAAACUCCGUACAGACAAGCACCCGUAGUCGGGAUCAACCCUGGGUCUCAGGUGCUGCAAGGCAGCAACUCUAUCACUGCGCCACCCUAUUUACACUUUACAUAAGUAUCUCCCCUGACCAAGGCAAUCAAAAUAAGGUAUUUUCACAGCACAAACUUCCCAAAUGCUUUGAUACAAUUUGAUGCUUCAUCACCUUAAGAAAUAUUAUGGAAGCUAAAAGAUUACACCAGAUAAUCACAAAAAGAGGCUUAAACUGCCCAAGGCAUUUAACAACGGUGGAGCAAUAAGGCCAGAUUUGAAAGGAUGGCAAAUAUUUUAAACGAUUAGAAGACAUAAAUUAGAAAUAAUGAGAUUAGGUCAGGAAGAAAUUUGAACUAGAGGUCCAAUUUUGGAAAUCUAGUCACUGCAGUGAGAUAAAGAGCGAUUGGUGCAGAGAACUUGUACAAAGAACUUAUACACUGAGUUUUGAAUGAGGUCAAGUUAAGAGAGAUGAAAAGGAGGGAACCCAGCUGGUAGGACAUCAUGUUUAAGAAGGAAAUGCAGAUGCUGGAAAAUCAAAGGUAGACAAAAAUGCUGGAGAAACUCAGCAGGUGAGGCAGCAUCUAUGGAGCGAAGGAAAUAGGCAACGUUUCGGGUCGAACCCUUCUUCAGAACAUCACGAUGGGGUUUGGAGAUCAGGAUACCAUUUAUUUUUACGAGUAGAGGAUCAGACGUAGAUUCAGUGAAAGAAAGUAAGUUUGAGCAAAACACAAAGUGCUGGGAAAAUUCAACGGGUCGGGCAACAUCUGUGGAGGGAAUGGGCAGGCGACGAUUUGGGUCAGGACCCUUCUUCAGCUCCUUCCAUAGACGAUGCCAGACCCCUCGCGUUCCUCUACCAGUUUGUAUUUUGCUCAGAAAUUUAGCAUUUGCCAUCACUUGUGUCUCCAAGGAAACAACUACUGGUUGAUUGUGUCAAGAGGCAGGGCAUGGAUGAAAAAUGGGAAGUAACAAGAGAGAAAUCAUUAAGGGAUGGAAAAAUUAAUACAGUUGUUGUGUAGGAGUUUAAACUGAUAUGUAACUGAAAAUGUGUAGGAAGGAACUGCAGAUGCGGGUUUACAUUGAAGAUAGACACAAAAUGCUGGAGUAACUCAAAGCGUCUGGCAGCAUCUCUGGAGAAAAGGAAUAGGCAACUUUUCAAGUCGAGAUCCUUCCGUCAGUUUAGUUUAUUGACACGUGUACCAAGGUACAGUGAAAAGCUUUUGUUGCGUGUGGUGCUGGCUCGAAGGGCCAAAUGGCCUCCUCCUGCAACUAUUUUCUAUGUUUCUAACCAGUCAGCGGAAAGACAAUGUUUACAAUCGAGUAAUUCACAAUGUACAGAUACACAAUAAAAGGAAUAACAUUUAGUGCAAGAUAAAGCCAAUAAAGUCCACAGGUCAUUCAAUGAGGUAAAUGUUGGUUCUGGAGUGCUCUCUGAUUUUGUGUCUAUCUUCGAAUAAAGAGAAAACCUAGCAAAAAGCCAGUUUGGCCAACAAUGUCAAGAGUGAAAUACGAAGAUUGAUGAGGGAUAAACCAGUUUGGCGACUGCUGCAAAGGGUGCAAUUUGCGACUUAAACAACGGCUAUUUCUGUGUCACGGCACAGCUGGUGGAAUGGAAGUCGUUCGAAGGAGCUGCAGAUAAUGUGGGCCUUGAAUCAGGAAUUGACAACAUCUACGAAGGCUUGAGAGCAGCAAGACGGAAGGAGGAUGGCACUGACGACAAAUUUGAAAGAAGGCUGCAUGACUUCUGGGCUCAUUAACUAACACAGAAGGCAGAUUCUCUGGAGAGAAGGAAUGGGUAACAUUUCAGAUUAAGACCCUUCUUCGACCCGAAACUUCACCCAUUCCUUCUCUCCAGACAUGCUGCCUGCCCCGCUGAAUUACUCCAGCUUUUUGUGUCUAUCUACGUUUUAAACCAGCAUCUUUAGUUCCUUCCUGCACAGAGAUUUGCAGCAAAAGGUGGAAGGGGGGGAGCGGCGGCGCUUACCCGGAGGGCGGAGAGGUCGAUGUCGUCCAGGCUGCGGGCCGGCGGCUCGCUCGCCAUCUUCUCUCAGCCGCAAUCACGGCGUCGCCUCAGGUGGAGAAUUAAAAGUUCAAGUAU